GUAACGCAGAACAUAUAGUAAAACUGGAAAGACACAGAAAUGAUUAACGUGGCUCUUGCACAAAGAUGACACAAAUUCAUGAAGUGUCCCAAUAAAAA
rnacentral:snRNA from 1 species